rnacentral:rRNA from 1 species
AUACAGAGGGUGCGAGCGUUAAUCGGAAUUACUGGGCGUAAAGCGCGCGUAGGCGGUUAUUUAAGUCAGAUGUGAAAUCCCUGGGCUCAACCUAGGAACUGCAUCUGAAACUGGAUAACUAGAGUUUAGGAGAGGGGAGUAGAAUUUCGGGUGUAGCGGUGAAAUGCAUAGAGAUCCGAAGGAAUACCAGUGGCGAAGGCGACUUCCUGGCCAAAAACUGACGCUGAGGUGCGAAAGCGUGGGUAGCAAACGGGAUUAGAAACCCCAGUAGUCC